rnacentral:rRNA from 1 species
CCUACGGGUGGCUGCAGUGAGGAAUAUUGGUCAAUGGACGAGAGUCUGAACCAGCCCAGUAGCGUGAAGGAUGACUGCCCUAUGGGUUGUAAACUUCUUUUAUAUGGGAAUAAAACGUUCCACGUGUGGGAUUUUGUAUGUACCAUAUGAAUAAGGAUCGGCUAACUCCGUGCCAGCAGCCGCGGUAAUACGGAGGAUCCGAGCGUUAUCCGGAUUUAUUGUGUUUAAAGGGAGCGUAGGUGGAUUGUUAAGUCAGUUGUGAAAGUUUGCGGCUCAACCGUAAAAUUGCAGUUGAAACUGGCAGUCUUGAGUACAGUAGAGGUGGGCGGAAUUCGUGGUGUAGCGGUGAAAUGCUGAGAGAUCACGAAGAACUCCGAUUGCGAAGGCAGUUCACUGGACUGCAACUGACACUGAGGCUCGAAAGUGUGGGUAUCAAACAGGAUUAGAUACCCCUGUAGUC